rnacentral:rRNA from 1 species
AUUGAACGCUGGCGGCAGGCCUAACACAUGCAAGUCGAACGGUAACAGGAAGCAGCUUGCUGCUUCGCUGACGAGUGGCGGACGGGUGAGUAAUGUCUGGGAAACUGCCUGAUGGAGGGGGAUAACUACUGGAAACGGUAGCUAAUACCGCAUAACGUCGCAAGACCAAAGAGGGGGACCUUCGGGCCUCUUGCCAUCGGAUGUGCCCAGAUGGGAUUAGCUAGUUGGUGGGGUAACGGCUCACCAAGGCGACGAUCCCUAGCUGGUCUGAGAGGAUGACCAGCCACACUGGAACUGAGACACGGUCCAGACUCCUACGGGAGGCAGCAGUGGGGAAUAUUGCACAAUGGGCGCAAGCCUGAUGCAGCCAUGCCGCGUGUAUGAAGAAGGCCUUCGGGUUGUAAAGUACUUUCAGCGAGGAGGAAGGCGUUAAGGUUAAUAACCUUGGCGAUUGACGUUACUCGCAGAAGAAGCACCGGCUAACUCCGUGCCAGCCGCCGCAGUAA